rnacentral:rRNA from 1 species
UACAGAGGGGGCAAGCGUUGUUCGGAAUUACUGGGCGUAAAGGGCGCGUAGGCGGCCUGUUAAGUCGAACGUGAAAUCCCUGGGCUCAACCCAGGAACUGCGUCCGAUACUGGCAGGCUUGAAUCCGGGAGAGGGAUGUGGAAUUCCAGGUGUAGCGGUGAAAUGCGUAGAUAUCUGGAGGAACACCGGUGGCGAAGGCGGCAUCCUGGACCGACACUGACACUGAGGAGCGAAAGCCAGGGGAGCAAACGGG